rnacentral:lncRNA from 1 species
GCGGCGGCAUGUGCGCGGCGGCGGAGUUCGAGUCGUUCGGCGUGCGGCCGGUGGACCUGUGGGGGCUGUCGGUGGAGGCGCUGCUGCCCGAGGUGACGGUGCCGGUGCCUGAGGUCCUGCGCAGCCGCAGCGAGUGGUGCACCACCUACCUGGAUGAGGACAUGCGGGUGGGGCGCGGCAGCGGCGGCGCGCUGUUCCUGUUCCGGCGCGGCGGCGCGGACGACGUCACCGAGGCGGCGGGCGCCAUGGGCGGCAGCCUGGGUGCGGGCUCCGGCAUGGGCAUGGGCUUGGGCGUGGGCUUGGGCGCGGUGGCUGCGGAUGCCCGCGCGCCGGUGAUGCGGCCGCUGUGAGGCGCGUGGGAGGAGGGGCGGGUGGCAGGAGGGAAGUGGAGCCUGGCGGCCGGCGCCGCGGGUGUGUAGCGGUGUGCCCGUGUGUGUGCGGGUGCGUGUACGUGUACGUGUACGUGUACGUGUACGUGUACGUGUACGUGUACGUGUACGUGUGUGUGUGUGUGUGUGUGUGUGUGUGUGUGUGUGUACAUGUGUGUGUGUGUGUACAUGUGUGUGUACAUGUGUGUGUACAUGUGUGUGUACAUGUGUGUGUACAUGUGUGUGUACAUGUGUGUGUACAUGUGUGUGUACAUGUGUGUACCUGUGUGUACAUGUGUGUACAUGUGUGUGUGUGUGUUGAGGUGGGCAUGGUGUGGCUGUGUGGGCGAGGAGGAGCACAGCGCUUCCAUCCGGCACUUGUGAGACAUGUCACAAUUUAUCAUCAUUUUAUCGCGGCAGGCAGUCCUAUGCAUGAGCAAUUCAUGGCGGUGCGCAUGGCGUGGAAUGGAGUGAAUUGAUGUUGUCAGGGGGCUGGUUGCAAUGGCCGAUACCGGUACCUGUGGUCCUGUGCGUCUCUGCGUGUCCUGUACAGUGUAUUCCCCCAAAUGGAUAGGGAGGGCAUGGUUGCAGGCCUGGCCAGAUCAGGUGUCUGGGUUUUAUCCCUCGCCUGCGUGUGCGUGCUUGUAUCUAACUGUACCACUUCAAUUAGGUCAAGGUUACCUGGCCCCUGUAGAGACGUGGAGGCUCAGACAAUAAGACAAUUGGUCUUAGCUCAAUGCAAACAGUGCAAAGAUUGAUUACAUUUGCUGAGUCUGCUUGUGGACAGAGAGAUGUGCGGUGUGAGGACUGUCGGCAGGAGCAUUGAUAGUAUGACAGUGGAGCGUGAAGAGGGAGAGGGACGGAGGGAGGCUGCGUGGUGCUGGCAGAGGGACGGAGGACGAGGUGGGCACCAUGCGGCCUUUGCAAUGCAUUCAAAGCUUCGCCCAAAGCCUUAACUUAUCAGGAUACCGUAUUGCUUGAAGCAGGAGUGCCGUCGCUGGUCACGCAACUUAAGAGAACUGCAGGGAAACAAGCAUCGAACCGGGGGUCGUGAUGGAGGCAUAGAUUUUGCUCUUGCGGCUCCUCGGGCGCCUGGUACACAGGGACACUUUAUCAGUGCACGAUAGCUAUAAGACGAAACAAUAUGGUGGUUUGCCUCGGUGCAGAGAACAGCAGUGCUGACAACUGAGCGCUCCCAAUUGUUGCCUUCUCUCCUACUGGAACUAUGACCGAGCCAAGCACCAGUGGCAAGCGCCAUAGAGAGGAUGAAGGUGUUGGAAACCUCGGCUGGCUGGCGAGCAGCGGUAUGCUGCCUCGCAAGCGGCAAGACAUUUCGGGAGUCGGCAAUGCGAGCAUUAUGGAGCUACAAGCACAACUUUAUCGCACGCAAGAAAAUGUGAAAUUGAAAGCAAGUGGCGUCGAGGUCCCCGACCGGCGAACUUCGGGGUUCAACGUCGCAUCGCUUAUGCAGCGACGAAACACGGGCGUGGAAGAGCGCGAUCGACGGGACAAGCUUGAAGUCAAGGUGAGGCGGGGUCUGGGAGUCCGCAAAUGCGACGUAGGGGCGGUGCUACGCUUGACGCGGACACUGGCCUCAGCAGUUCUGGACGACGCCCCGCGCGGUUUCCCCUCCACGCCCCUCCCGCACAGACCACCGCUGACCGCGUCGGGGAGUGUUACGCCGCGCUAGAGCGCAAGGCGCAACUAUACGAGAAACUAGGUAGGCGCUGCGACUGCUGCAGCCGUGCGCCGUGAACAAUGCCACACGGCACCACUGCCAUCCCUACCCCGCCAUUCCACCACGGCCACGUUGCACACCCCUCGCCGUCGAUGUAUGCGGACUCGCACAGGCUGUCCAGCUCGCCAUCUUCCACACGGCUACCAUAUGCCUGUACAAACUCCCUCGACCCUUUGCCAGCCCUAUCUACCCAUUGAUCGCUGUGCUUCUGCUCGACCGCUGUUCCGCUGCUGUUGCUGCUGCUGCUGCUACUGCUGCUGCUGCCGCAGCUCGCGGCGAGUUGGACGACGAGGGCGAGCAGUACGAGGUGGACUUCCUGCGCAAGGGCGGGGCGGCGGAGGAGGAGGCGGGUGGAGGCGAGGGCCGGCGCGGCGGCGACCUGGUGGACACCAUGCUGCAGGCAGUGUCGGGGACAGGUGAGGCGGGGGCGGAUGGGGGCAAGGAGUCCACGGGCCUUGUAGUCGGACUGCCCGAGCCGCCACCCUGACGGAGAGGGUCAACAAGUGUGUGCUGCGGCUGACCUGUCGGCAGAGCGUGUUGCUGCUGUUCGGCGCUCGGCCCGCGGGAUCUCACCACCCUCAGCCCCCGCCGCUGCUCGGCUGCAACCAUUGAGGCAGGACAGCAAGGGUUUAGGCAGGGUAGUAUGGACUGAGGCAGGGUAAUGCGGACUGGGCAAGGCAACCACCCGACACAUAGCGUGUCCCGGUCUAUUGUAUUCUUCUCUUGUGCGGAGACCGCACGUCUGAACCGCUCCUACUCCGCGCUGCACUUGCGCUCCUGACCACCUCCUGGCCACCUGUCGGCAUGCGGCCCCGCACACAGGCGGCAUGAUGACUGCGGACAUGGCGCGGGAACGGGAGCGGCGCGACUGGGAGCGGGACCAGCAGCGCAUCAUGGCGGACGAGGAGGCGGAGGAGCGGAGGCGGAAGCAGAAAGAGGUGCGUCCAACACAAGCGGAGGUCGGGGACCAAUGGCACCAUUGUUGUAUGCUGUUUAACCCGGGUUACCCUAUGCCGGCGAUGCUGCCUGUGAGCAGUUGAUAAGCAGUGCCUAACCUGCGGUGGCACGUCGUCGCAUGCGGUUUGCACAGGCGCUGCUUUGGCUUGUGGGGGCUGUCGGUGGAGGCGCUGCUGCCCGAGGUGACGGUGCCGGUGCCUGAGGUCCUGCGCAGCCGCAGCGAGUGGUGCACCACCUACCUGGAUGAGGACAUGCGGGUGGGGCGCGGCAGCGGCGGCGCGCUGUUCCUGUUCCGGCGCGGCGGCGCGGACGACGUCACCGAGGCGGCGGGCGCCAUGGGCGGCAGCCUGGGUGCGGGCUCCGGCAUGGGCAUGGGCUUGGGCGUGGG